rnacentral:rRNA from 1 species
GUCGCACGGGGUCGUCUUCGGACGGCUUACGUGGCGGACGGGUGAGGAACACGUGGGGAAGCUGCCGUCUGCAGGGGGGUAGCCGUCGGAAACGGCGGGUAAUUCCGCAUGGCCUCAUGAUCUGAGUCGGGAAGAUGAGGAAAGGGCUUUCGGGCCCGGCAGACGAGGCGCCUGCGUCCGAUUAGCUAGUUGGGGGGGUAACGGCCUCCCAAGGCGAUGAUCGGUAGCUGGUCUGAGAGGACGAUCAGCCACACGGGGACUGAGACACGGCCCCGACUCCUACGGGAGGCAGCAGCAAGGAAUUUUCCGCAAUGGGCGCAAGCCUGACGGAGCAACGCCGCGUGCGGGAUGACGCCUUUCGGGGUGUAAACCGCUGUUCGUGGGGACGAAGCACUGACGGUACCCACGGAGGAAGGCCCGGCUAACUACGUGCCAGCAGCCGCGGUAAUACGUAGGGGCCGAGCGUUGUCCGGAGUUACUGGGCGUAAAGCGUGCGCAGGCGGCGUAUCGCGCCCGGCGUGAAAGCCCCCGGCUCAACCGGGGAGGGUCGUCGGGGACGGGUACGCUUGAGGACAGCAGGGGCUGGUGGAAUUCCCGGUGUAGUGGUGAAAUGCGUAGAGAUCGGGAGGAACACCUGUGGCGAAGGCGGCCAGCUGGGCUGUUACUGACGCUGAGGCACGAAGGCGUGGGGAGCGAACGGGAUUAGAUACCCCGGUAGUCCACGCAGUAAACGAUGCAGACUAGGCGUGGGGGGAUUUGACCCCUUCCGUGCCGGAGCUAACGCGGGAAGUCUGCCGCCUGGGGAGUACGGCCGCAAGGCUAAAACUCAAAGGAAUUGACGGGGGCCCGCACAAGCGGCGGAGCGUGUUGUUUAAUUCGUCGCAACGCGAAGAACCUUACCAGGGCUUGACAUGGACCUGCACGCCCCGGGAAACGGGGGAAGCCUUCGAGGGUGGUCCACAGGUGCUGCAUGGCUGUCGUCAGCUCGUGUCGUGGAGAUGUUGGGUUAAGUCCGCACGAGCGCACCCUUGGGGUCAGUUACGAUUUUCCUGGACGGACUGCGGGGCAAACGGAAGAGGUGGGA